rnacentral:rRNA from 1 species
GUCGGACGGGAUUUGGGAGCUUGCUCCUAAUGAGAGUGGCGCACGGGUGCGUAACACGUAUGUAACCUACCUUGAUCAGGGGGAUAGCCUCUCGAAAGAGAGAUUAAGACCGCAUAACAUUAUGAUAUGGCAUCGUAUUAUAAUCAAAUAUUUAUAGGAUCAAGAUGGGCAUGCGCAACAUUAGCUAGUUGGUGUGGUAACGGCAUACCAAGGCGACGAUGUUUAGGGGAUCUGAGAGGAUGACCCCCCACACUGGUACUGAGACACGGACCAGACUCCUACGGGAGGCAGCAGUAAGGAAUAUUGGUCAAUGGACGGAAGUCUGAACCAGCCAUGCCGCGUGCAGGAAGACGGCCCUACGGGUUGUAAACUGCUUUUGCAGGGGAAUAAACCCCGGUUCGUGAACCGGGUUGAAUGUACCUUGAGAAUAAGGAUCGGCUAACUCCGUGCCAGCAGCCGCGGUAAUACGGAGGAUCCAAGCGUUAUCCGGAUUUAUUGGGUUUAAAGGGUGCGUAGGCGGCUUUUUAAGUCAGGGGUGAAAGACGGUAGCUCAACUAUCGCAGUGCCCUUGAUACUGAAGAGCUUGAAUGUACUUGAGGUAGGCGGAAUGUGACAAGUAGCGGUGAAAUGCAUAGAUAUGUCACAGAACACCAAUUGCGAAGGCAGCUUACUAAAGUAUGAUUGACGCUGAGGCACGAA